rnacentral:rRNA from 1 species
UACGUAGGGUGCGAGCGUUGUCCGGAAUUAUUGGGCGUAAAGAGCUCGUAGGCGGCUUGUUGCGUCAGCUGUGAAAACCCGCAGCUCAACUGUGGGCUUGCAGCUGAUACGGGCAGGCUUGAGUUCGGUAGGGGAGACUGGAAUUCCUGGUGUAGCGGUGAAAUGCGCAGAUAUCAGGAGGAACACCGGUGGCGAAGGCGGGUCUCUGGGCCGAUAUUGACGCUGAGGAGCGAAAGCGUGGGGAGCGAACAGG